UUAUCCCCAAAUUUGUGUUGUAGUACAGUAUCAAGAUCUUGCACCUAUUCCAUUCACCUAUAAAAAUUAUGAUUAUCAUAAAAUGACAUUUUAUAAUAAUUUACAUACUAUUUGCCAAUUAAAAGCAAGUUUCAUAAAAAAUGUGCAUGUAAAUCCAUAUUGUGAAUGAUACGAAAUAUAUUUGAAACUCACGAAACUUAAUAUAUGGGUAAAUUUACUAUAAUUUUAAAAGAUUACGCUACAUUAGAUACGAUCACUUUACCUUUUAUACUUGUGACCUAGAAAAUAAAUUUAUUAAAACACAUAACAUUUAUAAAUGAUGCAUACAUUUAUUAAAAUGCUUAAAACGCAAAACAUUUAUGAAUGAAACAUACAAUCAUUAUUAUACAUUUAUGUUACCAACAACUACUAACUAUAAUAUUAAGUUUCAACCAUUAAUAAAAAAAUCUUAGCACUAGUUUAAAUAAACUUCUUAAUACUUGUUUCAUAUAAGUUUCUUUAAGUAAUAUAGUAAAUUUAUGCCACAAACUAGUAAGUUUUGAUGAUUAACCAAAUUAUUAUUCUUUCAACAAGAUUUACUAUUAAUCUAUAAAAACUUACUAUUACUUGAACUAAACUUACUCCCCACAAAACUAAGUUUCGAAUGUAGAGUAGUAAUUUAAUUUUUAAAAAAAGUAACUUUCAUUUUUAUUUCGAUUUACUUUUUGAAACAUAAAUAGGAUAACACUUAUAUGACCAUUUUCGAUUUAUUUUUUAUUUACUUUUAGCGGCCAUUUGAUUAUUUGAUAGGCCUAUCCACCUAAAUAGGAUAACACUUAAAAAUAAGAAAGUAAGUUUUCCAUCUAAAAUAGUAAGUUAACAGUAAUAAAUUAGUAACUUUUAUACUUCAAAAUGUAAAUUGGAAUAAAUAUUAAACUUACUUUUUAAAUAAAUAAAUUACUACUUUAUAUCCCAAACUUACUUUUUAUAGUGUAAGUUUAAUUCAUGUAAUAGUAAGUUUUAAUACAUAAAUAGUAAUUCUUACUGAUAACAUGGUAAAAUUGAUUAAUAAUCAAAAUUUACUGAUUUAUGAGACACAUGUACUAUUUUACUUUAAAACAUAUUUCAAACUAAUGUUAGGGAAUUUAUUUGAAAUAACGAUAAGAUGUUUUAUUAAUGAUUAAUUUUUAGUACCUUAGUUAGUAAGUACUCAUAAUAUACCUGUAUAAUACAAGAUUAUAGUUAACAUUUAAAAAAAUUUAUUUACAUAUUUUAAAAUACUAUGGAAAAAAGUUUGACUUUUCACAUAAUCUCGUAAAAUAUGUAAUAAAAUUUUGUCGUAUUAUAAGUUUUAAAUUAUUUUCAAUUUUUGAAAAGUUUGAAAGUUUGGAUAAUAAUAACAACAAAUCUUCCUAGUUAUAUAUAGAAUAUUGCUUGUUUAUAUAUCAAAAUUUUUAUAAAUUAACACCUAUGAAUAUAAUAAGAUGAUAAAGUUUUAAUAAAUUUACAUCUGAGACACAAGAAAUAAUAAGAGUAAAAGCCUAAACAAAAUGAGAAAUAAUAUAAUAACAAAAAUUAUAAAUUUAGUAUAACAAUUAAUAUAAGAAAAUUAAAUUAAAUUUAGAAGGUAAAUUAAAUAACAAUGUCAAGGUUAGAGGUCAUGGUAAAUGUUACAAAUUUUAGGAGAAAGUAUGUACUGUAAAAAUGGUUUAAUAAUUUUCUAUUAAGCAUAACUAUUGCAUACAAAAGGAAAAGAUAUUUGAUUUUAUUUUGCUUUGAUUAGAAGAACUUGUACUAGUAAUAAAAGAAAUUUCAAUUCAACAAUCAACGUGUACAUGAUUACAGUAAUUUUUUAGUCAUUUAGACUAAUAUGUGUCAUAAAGUAGUCAGAUUUAGUCGUUUGUGAAUUCAUAAUUUUAACAGUUUACAUAAAAUUCAUCUAUUAAAAAUUAUGAUUAUUAUAAAAUGCCCUUUUAUAAUAAUUUACUUACCAUUUGCCAAUAAAAAAAGAGUUUGAUAGAAAACAUAUGGAUACAAAUCCAUAAUGUAAAUGAUACAAAGUAUGUUUGAAAGUCACAAAACUUAACAUAUGGGUAAUUUUACUAUAAUUUUCAAAGAUUAUUCUAUGUUAAUACAACUUUAAUUUUUAUACUUGUGACCCAGAAAAUAAAUUUAUUAAGAUUUUACCAUUUUAUUAAAUUCAUAGGCAUUAAUAUAUGAAAAUUGCGUACCAUUUUAUUAUAUUCAUCGGUGUCCAUAUAUGGAAAUUGUGAUGUAUAGAUAAGUGCAAUUCUAUAUAUAACUCAAAAGAUUUUUUUUUACUGUCAUCCAAACUUUUUAACCUUUUACAAAUUCAAAAAUAAUUCAAAAUUUAUAAUAUGACAAAUUAUUCUUACAUAUUUUAUAAGGUCAUAUGCAAAAAAAAGUUUUCAUAGUUUAUUUAAAAUGCUUAAAACAUAUAACAUUUAUAAAUGAUACGUACAAUUGUGUAUCAUACAUUUACAUUACGAGUAAUUACUAACUAUAAUACUAAGUUUCAAUUAUUAAUAAAAAAUCUUAGCAUUAUUUCAAAUAAACUUCCUAAUACUUGUUCCAUAUAAGUUUCUUUAAGUAAAAUAGUAAAUUUAUGCCAUAAACUAAUAAGUUUUGAUGAUUAACCCAAAUUUACUAUUCUAUCAACAAUAUUUACUAUUAGUCUAUAAAAACUUACUAUUAUUUGAACUAAACUUACUCUCCAAAAAGUAAGUUUUAGAUAUAGAGUAGUUAUCUACUUCAAAAAAAAAGUAAGUUCCAUAUUUCUUCAAAUUUAAUUUUUGAGACAUAAAAGUUACUAAUUUCUUGAGUUAACUUACUAUUUUUAAUGUAAAACUUACUAACCAUAUUUUUAGGUACUAUUUUAUUUAGAUGACCAGUAUAACAGGUAAUCAAAUGGUCGCUAAAAGUGUUUUUACCUGUUAUAUCAGGUAAAAACAGUUUCGUUAUCAUAACGCUCGUUACUUCAGACUUUUCCAAGAAAACAAGCUUCUGCAACACUUUCUAUUAAGCUUCAGCAAAAUGAGACAGACCUAUUGCACCUUGUGUUCGAAUGCAAAUUUCAAACCCGAACACACAGCUUUGCUCAAAACAAAAUUUUUUAACCAAAAUCAUAAUGUGAAACUAGCAACAAGGCCCAUAACUUUAACAUCAAACAAGCAAGAAAAACAUAAAGGGAACUGAUGCAACUUCUUGGAAAUUUCCAUACAAAAUGGUUCGGCAGCCUAUUUUUCUUCUGCAAUUUUCUCAUUCGGCCGAGACAAACAUCCAUGCCAAAGACUCAAACGCAUCUUCAUCCAUUCAAACGCAAAGUGCAGAAAUUUACAACAAAGGUAGAGAAAAAUCUAAUAAGUUUCAGGAUACAAAAUGCAAUGAGAGGAUCUGGAAAACAGGCUAACAUUUGAAGAACAAGCUGCUGCAACUUUCUCAAUUUCUUAUUCAAACAACCAGGAUUAGCAUUGUGCAUUUUAUCAUGACCACGGUAAUUUAUAUACAAUCAAAUUCAUUGUAAUGAAGUAGACAAAUGCAUCCAGACCGCAAAACAAAGACAAAUGGCUUUACACUUGGUUCGAAGAGCAUCAAAAUCACAAGCUUCCUUGAUAGUUUCUGGUCUUGAACAAGAAAUUUCUUUUGCGAAGGACACCAUUCCCAUUACAUACCCAUCGCACCAAGCUAGAGACAAAGCAAAAGGAAAGACAAAUGCAACCCAGAGAUAGCAAACAAGUCCCAAAAGGUUAAGCAAGCCAAAACUUUAGCAACUCAAGGGAGAAAGAAACCUGUUCGCAUAGCUGCAAUAUGACCGAGAGUGGCUCUCAAAUCCUCUAAGCGUUAAUGUACUAACCUAGAGAUGACUCAAUACAAAUCCUGACUUAUUCCAGCACAAAAAAAAUGGGGAUGAAGGGGAGAGGGAGGAUUCAACAAAGCUCCUGAGCGCGAAAUGCAGCAGGACAGAGAUACGGAUUCACCCAACCCCAACCGAAGUUCAGCAACAGCGCAAGGAGAUAUAAACAUUUACUGACCCCUAACUCAGAACUUCGAGAAAACAUUCUAAAGCCCAACCACGACAACAAACAAGGUGCUAAGAAUAAAAUGGAAGGGAAAACAGCAAGAAAACAGCAACAAGGCACUGCCGCACGCAGACAGCUAGAAGAAAGCAUCAAUCAGAUUUUGCCCACAGAAUUGUAUUCUCAUGAAAAGAACUUGCCAAAACAACAAGAGAGGAAACUAUGGUUACCUGAGAGGAGUGGGAUGAACGUGUAACACCCCAGGAAGUCGCGCUGAUUUCCAGAAAUGAAGUUGCGAAAUCAAAGAGUGCUCUUGCUUCGUAAAAAUCCGCAGACGAGGACGGUGGGUUCCGGUGAGGUGGUAACGGCAGUGAGGACCUUCAGCCGUGGCCAGCAGGCUUUGGGGCGGAGUAUGGUGGUGGAAUCAGCAGCAGUAGAAGGAUGCGGACUGGUGGUGGCUUGGGCAGAUGGCGUGAGGAAGAGAGGAGAUUUGGGGUGGGCGGCGGUGCGCAAAAGAAAGAAAAAGGAGAAAACAGGGGCAGCCUCUUCUUAUCGUUUUUCUUUUCACAAAAUUUCCUCCUGCCCGAGCUUUUCUUCCUCCUUGCUUCUCAAACCCUUUUCAGCCGUCAACUUGGAUUCUACCCUAGACCUCCCUGCAACCGUCCCUCCUCCCCGGCUCUCUUUCUUUUUUUAGUUUCUUUCUUGCUCUUCCCUCAGCCCCAAAACCCUUAGUUUCUUUGCUGCCCUCUUUUAGCUCUCCCCAUAGCUUCAAGCUCUCUUGGUUUUUCCUUGCCUCUGCUGAUUCCUCUCUCGGCCGUCACCACUAAUCUUUCUUGGCCGAAAGCCUUUCUCUUUUUUCUCCUCUCGUUUCACUUAGCCGUCAUUACCCUUCUCUGUCUCUCCUUUUUUUUUUCAGCCGUCCAGCCCCCCCCCCCCCCAAACUCUCUCAUUUCAUGGCUCUUUAUGGGCACCCGAAACCUCUCACAAAACCUAGCAUCUAUGGUUCACCUGCUGCGUUUUUUUUUUGCUGAAUUCCAAGCCAUUGGAUGGCUUUUUGUUUCUCAACCUUGAGUUGCCAGAUGAAGGCCAGAUGGCCUUGUAUUAUGCCAAUCCGAUGG
rnacentral:lncRNA from 1 species